rnacentral:rRNA from 1 species
UUAGUAACGGCGAGUGAAGCGGCAAAAGCUCAAAUUUGAAAUCUGGUACCUUCGGUGCCCGAGUUGUAAUUUGGAGAGGGCAACUUUGGGGCCGUUCCUUGUCUAUGUUCCUUGGAACAGGACGUCAUAGAGGGUGAGAAUCCCGUGUGGCGAGGAGUGCGGUUCUUUGUAAAGUGCCUUCGAAGAGUCGAGUUGUUUGGGAAUGCAGCUCUAAGUGGGUGGUAAAUUCCAUCUAAAGCUAAAUAUUGGCGAGAGACCGAUAGCGAACAAGUACAGUGAUGGAAAGAUGAAAAGAACUUUGAAAAGAGAGUGAAAAAGUACGUGAAAUUGUUGAAAGGGAAGGGCAUUUGAUCAGACAUGGUGUUUUGUGCCCUCUGCUCCUUGUGGGUAGGGGAAUCUCGCAUUUCACUGGGCCAGCAUCAGUUUUGGUGGCAGGAUAAAUCCAUAGGAAUGUAGCUUGCCUCGGUAAGUAUUAUAGCCUGUGGGAAUACUGCCAGCUGGGACUGAGGACUGCGACGUAAGUCAAGGAUGCUGGCAUAAUGGUUAUAUGCCGC